rnacentral:snoRNA from 1 species
AUGCCAUGAUGAGGACAUCUUCUAACCAACUCUUUAAAUCUCUCCUAAGUCUCUUAUAAACUCUCCUCUUCAAGUUAGUGAAAAAAUGUGAUCUCAUUCCGCAAUUU